GGCUCCAUAGUGUAGUGGUUAGCACUUCUGCUUUACAUGCAGAAGGUUAUGGGUUUACGCGCCAGGUGGAGCCA
rnacentral:tRNA from 1 species